rnacentral:rRNA from 1 species
GAUGAACGCUAGCGGCAGGCUUAACACAUGCAAGUCGAGGGGUAGAGGAAGCUUGCUUCCUUGAGACCGGCGCACGGGUGCGUAACGCGUAUGCAAUCUACCUUAUACAGGGGAUAGCCCAGAGAAAUUUGGAUUAAUACCCCAUAGUAUAAUUGAAUGGCAUCAUUUAAUUAUUAAAGUUCCAACGGUAUAAGAUGAGCAUGCGUCCAUUAGCUAGUUGGUGUGGUAACGGCACACCAAGGCGACGAUGGGUAGGGGUCCUGAGAGGGAGAUCCCCCACACUGGUACUGAGACACGGACCAGACUCCUACGGGAGGCAGCAGUGAGGAAUAUUGGUCAAUGGGCGCAAGCCUGAACCAGCCAUGCCGCGUGCAGGAUGACGGUCCUAUGGAUUGUAAACUGCUUUUGUACAGGAAGAAACACCCCCUCGUGAGGGAGCUUGACGGUACUGUAAGAAUAAGGAUCGGCUAACUCCGUGCCAGCAGCCGCGGUAAU